GGCUCCGGGGGCGGCCGCCUUCGAACUUCCGGCUUCCGGGCCAAUCACCCUUACUACGCAUCCUCAGACGAUCCUUUCUCUCGCAGAGGCCCGUUGGAUUAUGGGGGUUGUAGUCACUCUCCGUUGAGAGAGGGUCUUUUGUGACCUGGAACCAGAACUUCUAGUAUAUACCGUCACGCUAGAAAAGUUCUGUCCGACUCAGUGUCAGCCAAUCCCCAGCCUACGGCCCAGUGACGUCUCCGGAAGCUAAGUAGACUCGUAGAGUAAGCCGCGCGCCCCCUAGAGCUGCGCUCAUCCCCUGGCCAGGCUUCGGCCGAGUUCAGGGAGAAAAUAAUGGAGGGAAUGGAAGAUGAGACAAAGAAGUGGAUACCUGACACCAGUGACCCACAUCAUGGGGUGCAGACCCUCGCCUUUGGUCACUUUCCCCAUGCACCCCAGGAACCUACCUUGGAGUAAAAGUAUCGGCAUACAGCCUCCUGAGCCCAAGGCUGGAAGUAGAACUCAGCUCGGCGCUCUUCUUCUGGGUUGCCCACCACAUCAGUCAUGGUCUGAGGAAGAAAACAGACUUGUUUCCUUCCUUCACAGCUAUUAUGGAUUGAAUUGUAUCCCCUGCAAAAAUGUCAAAAUCCUAACCCCUCACUACCUGUGCAUGUGACCUUAUUUGGAAAUAGGAUCUCUGCAGAUCAUCUAGUUAACAUGAGGUCAUUAGGGUGGGUCUAAUCCAUUAUGACUGGUAUCCUUAUAAAAAGGGGAAACUUGGGACACAAAGACAGCCAUGAACAGAGGGAAGAUAAUGUGAAGACACAUGGAAAGCACCCUCUGCAAACCAAGAAAUGUCUAAGACUAUCACAAGCUAGGAGAGAGGCAGGAAACAUUCUCCCUCACAGCCCUCAGAAGGAACCAACCCCUGCUGACACCUUGGCUUCAGGCUUCUAGCAUCCAGAGCUGUGAAACAAUACACGUCUUUUGUUUAAGCCACCCAGUUUAUGGUGCUUUACUACAGCAGCCCUAGCAAACUACUGAUACAACACCCAGUCACACCCUGAUAUUAAGAGGUCAUUUUACACUGCCUCACUUGGGGUCCUACCUGGCACCCCCCGUUCCUUGCUUCUCUGCUCUGCCACUGUCAUUGUAGUCAGCCACAUGACAGGUGAGAAUUGAAGGCACAUCGCACUCAUUCUGUGCUCAUUCCUACCUUCUUGCCUGAGCUUACGGUGCUCCCUUCACUGGGAAAUACCUCAAACCCCAAGUUCCCCAGCUGUUCUAGCCUAAUACGUCUCCUUUCAAUUACCAUAUUGGUUCUGAUGAUUUCUGUUAACAUUUUACAUGUUUUACUACGUUUAAAUCAAAUUAGCCCAUGUCCUUCAUCCAAAAAAACGACCUGGCCUGAGACAUUUUCUUUUGCUAUUAACUUCCUUGCCCCACCCUCCUUCUACCUAUAAAAAUCUUCCAUUCUGUACGGCU